UAUCAAUGAUGAGCAAAUCCCGAACCUGAAGUUCUGAUGAGAAAGGUACGGAUCUGACUGCUGAGAU